AUUGAACGCUGGCGGCAGGCUUAACACAUGCAAGUCGAGCGAGCGGCGGACGGGUGAGUAAUGUCUGGGAAACUGCCUGAUGGAGGGGGAUAACUACUGGAAACGGUAGCUAAUUCCGCAUACCAUCAGAUGUUCCCAGAUGAGAUUAGCUAGUAGGGGGGGGAAUGGCUCACCAAGGCGACGAUCCCUAGCGGGUCUGAGAGGAUGACCGGCCACCCGGGAACGGAGACCGGGUCAAGACCCCUACGGGAGGAAGCAGUGGGGAACAUUGCACAAUGGGGGCAAGCUGGAUGCAGCCAUGCCGCGUGUGUGAAGAAGGCCUUCGGGUUGUAAAGUAUUUUCAGCGAGGAGGCGUUACUCGCAGAAGAAGCACCGGCUAACUCCGUGCCAGCAGCCGCGGUAAUUC
rnacentral:rRNA from 1 species